UGCCAGACUCCUACGGGAGGCAGCAGUGAGGAAUAUUGGUCAAUGGGCGGAAGCCUGAACCAGCCAAGUCGCGUGAGGGAAGAAGGCCCUGCGGGUCGCAGACCUCUUUGGACGGGGAGCAAGGCCGCCGACGUGUCGGCGGAAGGAGAGUACCCGUAGAACAAGCAUCGGCUAACUCCGUGCCAGCAGCCGCGGUAAUACGGAGGAUGCGAGCGUUAUCCGGAUUUACUGGGUGUAAAGGGCGUGUAGGCGGGACUGCAAGUCAGAUGUGAAAACCACGGGCUCAACCUGUGGCCUGCAUUUGAAACUGUAGUUCUUGAGUACUGGAGAGGCAGACGGAAUUCCUAGUGUAGCGGUGAAAUGCGUAGAUAUUAGGAGGAACACCAGUGGCGAAGGCGGUCUGCUGGACAGCAACUGACGCUGAGGCGCGAAAGCGUGGGGAGCAAACAGGAUUAGAUACCCCGGUAC
rnacentral:rRNA from 1 species